AAUAUAGCUGCAGAGAGCUGAGCUGAAAGUUAGAAGCUGUCUGCUGUUCAUGCAUAUUUUCCUCCUUAACUUUAUCUUCUCUCUUUAUUUCAUUUCUCUGUGAACUCAUGUGAUGACUGGAGUUGACCAACAAUUAAAGCAAAAGACCUGCUCCACCUGCUGAUCUACUGGUUGUAACAGCUUGUGGGAAAGCAUCACUGGACCAAUCAGGCGAGAGAAGACAGAGAGGACUGAGGACUAAAACGAAAAUACUCUGCCUGCCGAAAAAGGCAGACGAUCCAGUGGCCCCAGGUUUACACAGCAUCUGCUGGUUUGAGGCAGACCGACCGCUGGGGAGAUGGACCUCACCUGGCACCAUUACUCUGGAUGUAACAGCUCGACUCUCCUGUCCAUUAAAACAUCAAUGACUCUGGAAGCGGACAGCGAGGUUUCUGGUGCCUGGCUGGAGACGAGAUUCUGAUUAUUCAAGAGC